rnacentral:rRNA from 1 species
CGCGUAGGUGGUUUGUUAAGUUGGAUGUGAAAGCCCCGGGCUCAACCUGGGAACUGCAUCCAAAACUGGCAAGCUAGAGUACGGUAGAGGGUGGUGGAAUUUCCUAUGUAGCGGUGAAAUGCGUAGAUAUAGGAAGGAACACCAGUGGCGAAGGCGACCACCUGGACUGAUACUGACACUGAGGUGCGAAAGCGUGGGGAGCAAACA